rnacentral:rRNA from 1 species
CCUACGGGAGGCUGCAGUGGGGAAUAUUGGACAAUGGGGGCAACCCUGAUCCAGCCAUGCCGCGUGUGUGAAGAAGGCCCUCGGGUUGUAAAGCACUUUCAGUGAGGAAGAACGCCUGGUAGUUAAUACCCAUCAGGAAAGACAUCACUCACAGAAGAAGCACCGGCUAACUCCGUGCCAGCAGCCGCGGUAAUACGGAGGGUGCGAGCGUUAAUCGGAAUUACUGGGCGUAAAGCGCGCGUAGGUGGCUUGAUAAGCCGGUUGUGAAAGCCCCGGGCUCAACCUGGGAACGGCAUCCGGAACUGUCAAGCUAGAGUGCAGGAGAGGAAGGUAGAAUUCCCGGUGUAGCGGUGAAAUGCGUAGAGAUCGGGAGGAAUACCAGUGGCGAAGGCGGCCUUCUGGACUGACACUGACACUGAGGUGCGAAAGCGUGGGUAGCAAACAGGAUUAGAUACCCGAGUAGUC